rnacentral:rRNA from 1 species
ACGAACGCUGGCGGCGUGCUUAACACAUGCAAGUCGAACGGAAAGGCCCUGCUUUUGUGGGGUGCUCGAGUGGCGAACGGGUGAGUAACACGUGAGUAACCUGCCCUUGACUUUGGGAUAACUUCAGGAAACUGGGGCUAAUACCGGAUAGGAGCUCCUGCUGCAUGGUGGGGGUUGGAAAGUUUCGGCGGUUGGGGAUGGACUCGCGGCUUAUCAGCUUGUUGGUGGGGUAGUGGCUUACCAAGGCUUUGACGGGUAGCCGGCCUGAGAGGGUGACCGGCCUCAUUGGGAGUGAGAUACGCCCCGGACUCCGACGGGGGGAAGCGGGGGGAAAUAUGGCACAAUGGGCGGAGCCUGUAUGCAGCACCGCCGCGUGGGGGAUGACGCCCUUCGGUUGGUAACCCGCUUCCGCCGGUGACGAAGCGUGAGGGAGGGAAAGGGAUAAAAAAGCCCCGGCAAACUAGGGC